AUGCUUUACACAUGCAAGUCGAGCGGCAGCGCGGGGCAACCUGGCGGCGAGCGGCGAACGGGUGAGUAAUGCAUCGGAACAUGUCCAUUCGUGGGGGAUAGCCCGGCGAAAGCCGGAUUAAUACCGCAUACGCCCGAGAGGGGAAAGCGGGGGACCUGCAAGGGCCUCGCGCGAUUGGGUUGGCCGAUGUCCGAUUAGCUAGUUGGUGAGGUAAAGGCUCACCAAGGCGAUGAUCGGUAGCUGGUCUGAGAGGAUGAUCAGCCACACUGGGACUGAGACACGGCCCAGACUCCUACGGGAGGCAGCAGUGGGGAAUUUUGGACAAUGGGGGCAACCCUGAUCCAGCCAUUCCGCGUGAGUGAAGAAGGCCUUCGGGUUGUAAAGCUCUUUUGUCCGGAACGAAACGGUGCACGUGAAUAUCGUGCGCUACUGACGGUACCGGAAGAAUAAGCACCGGCUAGCUACGUGCCAGCAGCCGCGGUAAUACGUAGGGUGCGAGCGUUAAUCGGAAUUACUGGGCGUAAAGGGUGCGCAGGCGGUUUUGUAAGCCAGAUGUGAAAGCCCCGGGCUCAACCUGGGACCUGCAUUUGUGACUGUAUAGCUAGAGUACGGUAGAGGGGGAUGGAAUUCCGCGUGUAGCAGUGAAAUGCGUAGAUAUGCGGAGGAACACCGAUGGGCGAAGGGCAAAUCCCCUGGGACCUGUACUGACGCUCAUGGCACGAAAGCGUGGGGAGCAAACAGGAUUAGAUUACCCUGGUUAGUCCACGCCCUAAAACGAUGUCAACUGGUUGUUGGGGUCUUCACUGACUCAG
rnacentral:rRNA from 1 species